rnacentral:rRNA from 1 species
UAGCAAACGGGUGAGUAAUAUAUAGGAAUCUACCAUAUGGUGAGGAAUAAGUGUGGGAAACUAUGUCUAAUACCACAUAAUACCGGUUUCGGGAAAGGAGUAAUCUGCCAUAUGAUGAGCCUAUAUCAGAUUAGCUAGUUGGUGGGGUAAAGGCCUACCAAGGCGAAGAUCUGUAGCUGGUCUGAGAGGGUGAUCAGCCACAUUGGGACUGCGACACGGCCCAAACUCC